GACGUAUGCUGGCGGCGUGCCUAAUACAUGCAAGUUGAGCGAUGAAGAUUGGUGCUUGCACCAAUUUGAAGAGCAGCGAACGGGUGAGUAACGCGUGGGGAAUCUGCCUUUGAGCGGGGGACAACAUUUGGAAACGAAUGCUAAUACCGCAUAACAACUUUAAACAUAAGUUUUAAGUUUGAAAGAUGCAAUUGCAUCACUCAAAGAUGAUCCCGCGUUGUAUUAGCUAGUUGGUGAGGUGAAGGCUCACCAAGGCGAUGAUACAUAGCCGACCUGAGAGGGUGAUCGGCCACAUUGGGACUGAGACACGGCCCAAACUCCUACGGGAGGCAGCAGUAGGGAAUCUUCGGCAAUGGACGAAAGUCUGACCGAGCAACGCCGCGUGAGUGAAGAAGGUUUUCGGAUCGUAAAACUCUGUUGGUAGAGAAGAACGUUGGUGAGAGUGGAAAGCUCAUCAAGUGACGGUAACUACCCAGAAAGGGACGGCUAACUACGUGCCAGCAGCCGCAGUAA
rnacentral:rRNA from 1 species